rnacentral:rRNA from 1 species
GAUGAACGCUAGCGGCAGGCCUAACACAUGCAAGUCGAGGGGCAGCAUAAUAAAAGCUUGCUUUUAUGGUGGCGACCGGCGCACGGGUGCGUAACGCGUAUGCAACCCACCUUAUACUGGGGUAUAGCCCGGAGAAAUUCGGAUUAAUCCCCCAUAGUAUAUAUGAAUCGCAUGUUUUAUAUAUUAAAGGUUACGGUAUAAGAUGGGCAUGCGUCCCAUUAGCUAGAUGGUGAGGUAACGGCUCACCAUGGCGACGAUGGGUAGGGGGCCUGAGAGGGUGGUCCCCCACACUGGUACUGAGACACGGACCAGACUCCUACGGGAGGCAGCAGUGAGGAAUAUUGGUCAAUGGGCGAGAGCCUGAACCAGCCAUGCCGCGUGCAGGAAGACGGUCCUAUGGAUUGUAAACUGCUUUUAUUUGGGAAUAAACUCCGAUACGUGUAUCGGCCUGAAGGUACCAAAUGAAUAAGCACCGGCUAACUCCGUGCCAGCCGCCGCUGUAAAAC